rnacentral:rRNA from 1 species
AAUCCAUAGGUUAAUGAGGCGAACCGGGGGAACUGAAACAUCUAAGUACCCCGAGGAAAAGAAAUCAACCGAGAUUCCCCCAGUAGCGGCGAGCGAACGGGGAGGAGCCCAGAGCCUGAAUCAGCAUGUGUGUUAGUGGAAGCGUCUGGAAAGGCGCGCGAUACAGGGUGACAGCCCCGUACACAAAAGCGCAUGUGCUGUGAGCUCGAUGAGUAGGGCGGGACACGUGGUAUCCUGUCUGAAUAUGGGGGGACCAUCCUCCAAGGCUAAAUACUCCUGACUGACCGAUAGUGAACCAGUACCGUGAGGGAAAGGCGAAAAGAACCCCGGCGAGGGGAGUGAAAAAGAACCUGAAACCGUGUACGUACAAGCAGUGGGAGCACAGGUUUACCUGUGUGACUGCGUACCUUUUGUAUAAUGGGUCAGCGACUUAUAUUCUGUAGCAAGGUUAACCGAAUAGGGGAGCCGGAGGGAAACCGAGUCUUAAUUGGGCGUUAAGUUGCAGGGUAUAGACCCGAAACCCGGUGAUCUAGCCAUGGGCAGGUUGAAGGUUGGGUAACACUAACUGGAGGACCGAACCGACUAAUGUUGAAAAAUUAGCGGAUGACCUGUGGCUGGGGGUGAAAGGCCAAUCAAACCGGGAGAUAGCUGGUUCUCCCCGAAAGCUAUUUAGGUAGCGCCUCGUGAAUUCAUCUCCGGGGGUAGAGCACUGUUUCGGCUAGGGGGCCAUCCCGGCUUACCAACCCGAUGCAAACUGCGAAUACCGGAGAAUGUUAUCACGGGAGACACACGGCGGGUGCUAACGUCCGUCGUGAAGAGGGAAACAACCCAGACCGCCAGCUAAGGUCCCAAAGUCAUGGUUAAGUGGGAAACGAUGUGGGAAGGCCCAGACAGCCAGGAUGUUGGCUUAGAAGCAGCCAUCAUUUAAAGAAAG